rnacentral:rRNA from 1 species
UACAGAGGGUGCAAGCGUUACUCGGAAUUACUGGGCGUAAAGCGUGCGUAGACGGUUGCGUACGUCCGCUGUGAAAGCCCCGGGCUCAACCUGGGAAUUGCAUUUGAGACGGCGUAGCUAGGGUGCGGAAGAGGGAAGCGGAAUUUCCGGUGUAGCGGUGAAAUGCGUAGAUAUCGGAAGGAACACCAGUGGCGAAAGCGGCUCCCUGGACCAGUACCGACGCUCAGGCACGAAAGCGUGGGGAGCAAACAGG